AAUAAUGAUAACUGCAGGGUUUCAAAAUGUACAAGGCAUCAUAUCAAAGACUGCAUAUAAUGCCCGAAAGAAGGACAAAUCCAAUUUGGCUCUCUGGAUGUAUUGAAAGCUCUCAACCUUCCAGAAAAGGACUGUUCAAAGGAACACUUAAAUCCCUCCGACAGACAAAGAUAACCUCUCUAGGCCCUCUGGUGGUGACGUAUAAGUGCUUUCUCAGUACUUUCUCUCGCUUUUGGACAAAUCCAAGUGCUGUAUCUGUACCCGAAUAGAAAUAAAGGAUUUUAAUGAAACAGUUUUCUUCCGCUCUGAAAGUGAACGAAUGACAAAACAGUCUAG